rnacentral:rRNA from 1 species
GAUGAACGCUGGCGGCGUGCCUAAUACAUGCAAGUCGAGCGAACAGACGAGGAGAUUGCUCCUCUGACGUUAGCGGCGGACGGGUGAGUAACACGUGGAUAACCUACCUAUAAGACUGGGAUAACUUCGGGAAACCGGAGCUAAUACCGGAUAAUAUAUUGAACCGCAUGGUUCAAUAGUCAAAGACGGUUUUGCUGUCACUUAUAGAUGGAUCCGCGCCGCAUUAGCUAGUCGGUAAGGUAACGGCUUACCAAGGCAACGAUGCGUAGCCGACCUGGGAGUGUAGUCGGCGACACGCGAGCUGAGCAUCGGUCCAGGCUCCUACAGAAGGCAGAAGUAGAGAAUUUUCCACAAUGGGCGAAAGACUGACGGAACGGAGCCGCGUGAGUGAUGAAGGUCUUCGGAUCGUAAAGCUGUGUUAUAAGGGAAGAACAAAUGUGUAAGUAACAAUAGACAUCUUGACGGUACCUAUACAGAAAGCCACGGCUAAAUACGUG